ensembl:lincRNA
GGCUACCUUAAGCGCCUGUCCUGUCUGAGACUGUGGCUGACAUGUCUCCCCAGGUGAAUAUAAAAAUACCCAAAGGACAGAGCCCUUCGGCAGCGGUUGCUUUUCUUCUUUGAAGUUCACAGGCUGAAACAAGUUGCCUCUUCUGCCUCAUACACAGAGAAAACUCCGCUGCAUCUGAUGAAGGUUGCUGACAGCAUAAUGGCUGGGAAAACGUCGGACAGCUCCAUAAAAUGGCAACUAUGUUAUGACAUGUCAGCCAGGACCUGGUGGAUGGUUGGCUGAGAUGCGGGCUCUCUCUGAACACCCGCGAGACCAUCAGGGAACUGGAUCAUUCCUUCCUGCAUUCUGCUUCUCACCGGGCUGCUCACAGGAAAGUGAGACAAAUAUAGCUGGUGACUCGACUCUCUCUCAGUCCUGCCGUGCUUUUCUAUUGGAGACCAAAGUUUUGGGGGCCCAUGACCUCCAUGAGCUCCAUUAGAGCAGUGACUUGUCCCCUAGGGGGACAUUUGGCACUGUCUGGACACAUUUUGAUUGUCACAACUGGGAGACGGAGUGUUGCUGCUGCUGGCAUUUAGUGGGUAGGGUCCAGGGAUGCUGCUAAACAUCGUACAGUGUACAGGAUGGGCCCCUGCACCAAGAAUCGCCUCAGCCCCAAAGGUCCACCCUGCAGUGGAGCAGCAGAAGGACGUGUCUCCCAGAAUGUUCCAUUGCAUCCUGGUGACCGUAGCUAGCCCAGGACCAAAGAAUCUUGGGCUCCCUCGAGUGGUGAUUCACACUAUGACAGCCAAGAAGGGCCCAUAGCUGCAGGGGGUGGGGCGUGUGUGUGUGUGUGUGUGUGUGUGUGUGUGUGUGUGUGUGUGUGGUGUGUGUGUGUGUGUGGUGUGUGUGUGUGAAACAAGUCAUUUCAUUCAUCACAAAAUAUGCUUUGGUUGAUGGUGACAGCAAUUUCCAUAACUCAUUAAUGAGCCAUUUUCUUCUCUCUAGGUUGUUAAUACCUAUGCAGAGGCCUUUGAAUUCAGAGAGCAGAUUUCCUUCUGAUUAGUCAAACAGAGUGUUUAUUUUUUGAAAUAUGCUCUUCCCAUUUAGAGUAGCACUUGAGUGUGAAUUUGUGUGAUUUCUUUCUGUUUGUUUUCUUCCUAAAUGGAAACUCCAAGAGCUUCCAUCACGUUUCCCAGUUCUUCUUUUGGAAAGAGAACAUUAAGAAGGUUCCAGGACGGACGACUCAGAGAUAAUGCUUCCACUUACAUUUUUGAAGGGAUGAGGAUAAGGGGGUGGAAGGUAAUUUUAAGAUUCCAAUUCUGAUCAUAUGAACCAUUAUGAGAGCAAAUCUUACAUGGUCCUAUGAAUGCCUCUACAGUGAAGCCUUUGCAAAGCACAUCUUGUUUAUGACAGAUUAUUUGGUUUCCCAACAAAGCAAUAUUAUUAAUGGGUUAUUUAAAAUUUAACUGACUGUUCUCAUUUAUCUUGUAGCCUGUCAUCAUGCCACUCCCAUGUUCAUAUAAUAAUAAUAUCUAUUGAGUACAUUCCACAUGACAGGUACUGUGUCACAUUCAUUAACUCAUCCAUUCUUCACAAUAGUUAUAUAGGGAAAUACAACUGCAUCUUUCACAGGAGGGACUGGAGACAAAAAGAUAAAUAACUUCACAAGGUCGCUGAGCCAGCAAGUAAGAACGUGGGACAGGAGUCAAGGUCUAUCACGUCCCAAAGCAUGCUGACUAUCCCACUGAGAUCUUUAGGGUUCUGGUCCAUCAGAACAGCUCUCCAAGGGGCCCUGGGGGUCUCGGCCAAGCACCCCACCUCCUCCAUCCUGGCAUCAUUCUUGUGAUCCUUUCCUCCUAAGCUCUCACUCUUGAGGCCACUUCCUUGCUAGGCUCCAUCAGCUGUUCUCCUCAACUUCAGGUCUGUAUACCUCUUUUCUUAUGAGAAACACCCUCCCUUUUUCUUCCAACACUUCAGGUUCUGUUUUUGUUCAAAGCCCACCUCUUACCACCACCACAAAGCCUUCCCUAACGUUUUCCCUGUUGAAAAUGUGCACCGUCUAGGUUCGGAUGAAAACCUGGCUCCUUCCACACACAGCACUACCCAAGAGAUAAUAAAAUAUAUCUAUGUCAUGCACUGGGUUUACAAUUUGAGGUCUCUGUACCUCCUUCGUUACCUGCAAAAUAAGCUGAAUGGAUGCAGUUAAAAUGCCCCGCCCACUUCACAGGUUUCUUAUUAUACGUAAAUGAGAUAAUGCAUAUGAAAACUUUUUGUAAACGUAAGGCAUUGUUUGAUUAUCAUCCUGGUCUCUCUCUUUUCCAUUUUUAUUACUUUCAUUUUUCUUUUCUGUCUACUCCCAGAUUUUGUUGAAUCAUAGACAGAGCCAGUCACUAGUGGUAGGGUUGGAGAGAAAGUGGAUUUUCUUUUCUUGAUUUCAGAAUUGUCAGCUGUAAAAAUGCUACAUGUUACAAGCAGUCUCAGACCCCAUUGUAGAUUGUGUUUUUAGAAAAGCAGGGAGAAAAUAAAAUUACUUCAGUCACAUAAACGAUCUGAAUAGCAUCUUACAUCCCAGAAAAUGCGGAUUUUAAUAAAACGUGGGGAAAAUUCACUUAACGAUGCCACUCUGCCAGGAGGGGAGGAAUUAGAGAUUUCCUUUGCUAUUAACAACAUCACCAUCCUGACAUCGAUGGGUGACAGAAAUGGCUUUUUUUCCCUAGGAUAUUUAUUAAAUAUAUAAGGAAAAAUCUGGUUAAAUCUUCAUUGAAAUUGUAUUGGCUUUAGGAAUUAAUUUAUAAAGAAUUAACAUCUUUACAUAUUGAAUCUCUCCAUCUAAUAAAGUAUAGCUC